rnacentral:rRNA from 1 species
AGCGAACGCUGGCGGCAGGCCUAACACAUGCAAGUCGAACGAACUCUUCGGAGUUAGUGGCGGACGGGUGAGUAACACGUGGGAACGUGCCUUUUGGUUCGGAAUAACUCAGGGAAACUUGUGCUAAUACCGAAUGUGCCCUUCGGGGGAAAGAUUUAUCGCCAUUAGAGCGGCCCGCGUCUGAUUAGCUAGUUGGUGAGGUAACGGCUCACCAAGGCGACGAUCAGUAGCUGGUCUGAGAGGAUGACCAGCCACACUGGGACUGAGACACGGCCCAGACUCCUACGGGAGGCAGCAGUGGGGAAUCUUGCGCAAUGGGCGAAAGCCUGACGCAGCCAUGCCGCGUGAAUGAUGAAGGUCUUAGGAUUGUAAAAUUCUUUCACCGGGGACGAUACUGACGGUACCCGGAGAAGAAGCCCCGGCUAACUUCGUG